UGAGGGAACUAGGACAGGGCAGACAAAGAGCAAAGCACAUGCAAAGCGGUCCAUUACUGAACUGACUGCGGUGCCACGAGAAACUGAACGAAUGGCUCAGCCAUGCUGAAUGUCUCUGGAAGACCAUGUGAAGUCACUGUACCCAGGAACAAUCUGCUCGGGAGAAGACUUAGGAAUCUCUGUUGCUUCCUCCCUGUCUUGGGUCUCUUGUUGGUCAAAAUUCAGCCUGUGGGGCAUUAACUCUGUUGUACUUAUGGGUCGCAAAGAGUCAGACGUGACUGAGCGACUGAACUGAACUUAUGGGUUGUGUAGCUGGGCCCCCUGGGCAGCUUUGAGGCCAGACUCAGUGAGUCCAGGUCUGGAUGGACAUGUGUCCAGGGGUUGUUUCAGUUCCUCCGAUCAUGGGGGACAUAAUAAAGGUCAUGCCCAAACCCGAAAAUGACCCGAGGAUGGCUGAGGCAGUCUGUUGUGUUAGGAGGUUCCACAGCCCAUGAGAAGCAAACUCAGAAACUGUGUCUGCAAGGACCAUGUGACUUCAGGAUUCUGCUUCUACUAGAGAUCUUCCUUCAAUUGGAUGCUGUACUAGAUGGAAGGGAAGAGAUCUGCCAGCUUCCCCACUGUCAUAUCCUCAGCUCCAGGAAACUGCAGACAGAGCCCCUACGGAAAAAAACACACGCUUCUCCAUUUCUUCCAAGAUCAAGGGCAAAUUCCGUAGCACGCAUCAAAGAGCCUCCAAAGGGUGGGCGGCCCAGGGUCGCUUUCCACCCUAGUCCGUUGUUACUGCAUCUGCUUCUCCCUCCUUCCACCCUCUUUUCUCUAUUCCAGCCACGCUAAUCUCCUUACCUUUCCUGGAAACACUGUGCUCCUUCUUACCUCCCCACUUUCACGCUUGCUGUUCCUCUGCCUGGAAUUCUCUUCCCUUUCUUCCUUGGGAAUUCUUAUUUACCCUUCAAAGCCUAACUAAAACGUCACCUUCUCAAGGAUGACUUAACCGUGUCCUCCAAGCUGAAUUUGUUACCCCUUCUUCUGUGUUCCUUUGGCUCCUUUUUCCUAAGAGGAAAUAUAAAUGUAUUAUAAAAGUAAAUAUAGGGAAGCCCAGUGGUUAAGAAUCUUGCUUGCAAUGCAUAGGUUCGCUCCCUGGUCAGGGAACUAAGAUGCCACAUACCUGUGGCCCCCAUGCCACAACAAAGACCCAGCACAGCCAAAAAGAAAAAAAACAGGAGUAAAUAUAAAUGUUUAUAACCUCAUUCAUCACUUCCCUCGUGGCUCAGAUGGUAAAGAAUCUGCCUGCAAUGCAGAAGACCCAGGUUCAACCCCUGGAACAGGAAGAUCCCUU
ensembl:lncRNA